rnacentral:rRNA from 1 species
UACGGAGGGUGCAAACGUUGCUCGGAAUCAUUGGGCGUAGAGCGCACGUAGGCGGCUUGUUAAGUCGGAUGUGAAAGCCCUGGGCUCAACCCAGGAAGUGCAUUCGAUACUGGCGAGCUUGAAUAUGGAAGAGGAUCGCGGAAUUCCCGGUGUAGAGGUGAAAUUCGUAGAUAUCGGGAGGAACACCAGUGGCGAAGGCGGCGAUCUGGGCCAAUAUUGACGCUGAGGUGCGAAAGCGUGGGGAG